CCCCGUAGCUCAGUUGGUAGAGCAUGGUGUUUGCAACACCAGGGUUGUGGGUUCGAUUCCCACGGGGG
rfam:Salmo salar isolate Sally breed double haploid chromosome ssa01, whole genome shotgun sequence.